UGCGAGUCGAGAGGUGCAAGACCUCGGCGUACUGCUCAGUAACACGUGGAUAACCUACCCUGUGGAGGGGGAUAACCCCGGGAAACUGGGGAUAAUACCCCAUAGGUUAGGGUGGCUGGAAUGCCCCCUAGCUCAAAGGUCCGCCGCCACAGGAUGGGUCUGCGCCCGAUUAGGUUGUUGUUGGGGUAACGGCCCAACAAGCCUUUGAUCGGUACGGGUUGUGGGAGCAAGUGCCUGGAGAUGGAUUCUGAGACACGAAUCCAGGCCCUACGGGGCGCAGCAGGCGCGAAAACUUUACAAUGCGAGAAAUCGUGAUAAGGGAACCCCGAGUGCCCGUAAAUUCGGGCUGUCCGCCAGUGCAAAAAACUGGCGAAGAAAGAGCCGGGCAAGACCGGUGCCAGCCGCCGCGGUAACACCGGCGGCUCGAGUGGUGGUCACUAUUACUGGGCUUAAAGCGUCCGUAGCUUGGUUGUUAAGUCUCUUGGGAAAUCCACCGGCUCAACCGAUGGGCGUCAGGAGAUACUGGCAACCUAGGGACCGGGAGAGGUGAGGGGUACUCCAGGGGUAGGAGUGAAAUCCUGUAAUCCUUGGGGGACCACCUGUGGCGAA
rnacentral:rRNA from 1 species